rnacentral:rRNA from 1 species
GACGAACGCUGGCGGCGUGCCUAAUACAUGCAAGUCGAACGAACUCUGGUAUUGAUUGGUGCUUGCAUCAUGAUUUACAUUUGAGUGAGUGGCGAACUGGUGAGUAACACGUGGGAAACCUGCCCAGAAGCGGGGGAUAACACCUGGAAACAGAUGCUAAUACCGCAUAACAACUUGGACCGCAUGGUCCGAGCUUGAAAGAUGGCUUCGGCUAUCACUUUUGGAUGGUCCCGCGGCGUAUUAGCUAGAUGGUGGGGUAAUGGCUCACCA